rnacentral:rRNA from 1 species
ACGAACGCUGGCGGCAUGCCUAACACAUGCAAGUCGAACGAGACCUUCGGGUCUAGUGGCGCACGGGUGCGUAACGCGUGGGAACCUGCCCUUAGGUUCGGAAUAACUCCCCGAAAGGGGUGCUAAUACCGGAUAAUGUCUUCGGACCAAAGAUUUAUCGCCUUUGGAUGGGCCCGCGUUGGAUUAGCUAGUUGGUAGGGUAAAAGCCUACCAAGGCGACGAUCCAUAGCUGGUCUGAGAGGAUGAUCAGCCACACUGGGACUGAGACACGGCCCAGACUCCUACGGGAGGCAGCAGUGGGGAAUAUUGGACAAUGGGCGAAAGCCUGAUCCAGCAAUGCCGCGUGAGUGAUGAUGGCCUUAGGGUUGUAAAGCUCUUUUACCCGGGAUGAUAAUGACAGUACCGGGAGAAUAAGCUCCGGCUAACUCCGUG